rnacentral:rRNA from 1 species
ACAAGUACCGUGAGGGAAAGUUGAAAAGCACUUUGAAGAGAGAGUUAAAGAGGACGUGAAACCGGUAGGAUGGAAACGGAUAGAGCUAGCGAAGUCGCUCGCAUUCAGCCGAAGGCUCGUGGUUGCCGCUCGUCUGGAUGCUAAUCGCGCCAGUCGGGUGUUUUUCUGCGGGCUGAGGUGCAUUUGCGGGCGCAUGCGCUGAGACUUGCGGAACUGCUGCUGAACCCGUUGACUAGAGGCCCUCUUUUUGAUGGAACCUGGUUGCGACGACGGCUGUUGGUUCUGCUCGUAUUUUGUGCGGCCUACGGACCUUGCCUUGGCUGCUUUCGCCUAGCGCGGGUAUCGCAUGCGAUGCCUCGCCUCGGGGGCGUUGGCCCGGUCCGGUGUUCCCGCGCUUCAUCUCGGUGUAGAAGCUGGUCAUCUCUCCGACCCGUCUUGAAACACGGACCAAGGAGUUUAGCGUAUGCGCGAGUCAUUGGGUGCCAAAACCCAUAGGCGCAAUGAAAGUGAAGGCUCGGUCGCCGGGCUGACAUGCGAGCGGUCGGGCCCCGGCCCGGCCGCGCAGCAUGGUCCCGUUCCGGUCGCUUGCGACGGAGCGGAGACAGAGCGUAUGCGCUGAGACCCGAAAGAUGGUGAACUAUUCCUGAGCAGGACGAAGCCAGAGGAAACUCUGGUGGAAGUCCGAAGCGAUUCUGACGUGCAAAUCGAUCGUCUGACUUGGGUAUAGGGGCGAAAGACUAAUCGAACCAUCUAGUAGCUGGUUCCUUCCGA